GCAGUCAAGGAGAACGGGAAAGCUUGCUUUUCUCAAUUAAACUGGCGAACGGGUGCGUAACACGUGAGCAACUUGCUCUCAAGUGGGGGAUAACAUUCCUAACGGGAUGCUAAUACCGCAUAUGUUUUUUAGAUCGCAUGAUCUUUUAAGCAAAGAUGGCUUCGGCUAUCGCUUGGGAAUGGGCUCGCGGCCCAUUAGCUUGACGGUGGGGUAACGGCCUACCGUAUUGGCUCUGAUGGGUAGCUGGUCUGAGAGGAUGAUCAGCCACACUGGGACUGAGAUACGGCCCAGACUCCUACGGGAGGCAGCAGUGAGGAAUAUUGCGCAAUGGGCGAAAGCCUGACGCAGCAACGCCGCGUGGGGGAUGAAGGCCUUCGGGUCGUAAGCCCCUGUUUGCAGGGAAGAACAGCACAGGUUCUAACAGGCCCUGUGUUUGACGGUACCUGUAGAGGAAGCUCCGGCUAAUUCCGUGCCAGCAGCCGCGGUAAUACGGAAGGAGCAAGCGUUGUUCGGAAUUACUGGGCGUAAAGGGCGUGUAGGCGGUAUGGUAAGUCGCGGGUGAAAUCUUUAAGCUUAACUUGGAGACUGCCCGCGAUACUGCCAAACUAGAGCACAAAAGAGGAGAGCGGAAUUCCCGGUGUAACGGUGGAAUGUGUAGAUAUCGGGAAGAACACCAGUGGCGAAGGCGGCUCUCUGGUUUGAUGCUGACGCUGAGGCGCGAAAGCGUGGGGAGCAAACAGGACUAGAUACCCUGGUAGUCCACGCUGUAAACGAUGGGUACUAGGUGUUGG
rnacentral:rRNA from 1 species